UACGUAGGGUGCAAGCGUUAAUCGGAAUUACUGGGCGUAAAGAGCUCGUAGGCGGUUUGUCGCGUCUGCUGUGAAAACCUAAGGCUCAACCUUGGGCUUGCAGUGGGUACGGGCAGACUAGAGUGCGGUAGGGGUGACUGGAAUUCCUGGUGUAGCGGUGGAAUGCGCAGAUAUCAGGAGGAACACCGAUGGCGAAGGCAGGUCACUGGGCCGCAACUGACGCUGAGGAGCGAAAGCAUGGGGAGCGAACAGG
rnacentral:rRNA from 1 species